GAUGAACGCUGGCGGCGUGCCUAAUACAUGCCAGUCGAGCGAACAGACGAGGAGCUUGCUCCUUUGACGUUAGCGGCGGACGGGUGAGUAACACGUAGGUAACCUACCUAUAAGACUGGGAUAACUUCGGGAAACCGGAGCUAAUACCGGAUAAUAUUUCGAACCGCAUGGUUCGAUAGUGAAAGAUGGCUUUGCUAUCACUUAUAGAUGGACCUGCGCCGUAUUAGCUAGUUGGUAAGGUAACGGCUUACCAAGGCAACGAUACGUAGCCGACCUGAGAGGGUGAUCGGCGACACUGGAACUGAGACACGGUCCAGACUCCUACGGGAGGCAGCAGUAGGGAAUCUUCCGCAAUGGGCGAAAGCCUGACGGAGCAACGCCGCGUGAGUGAUGAAGGUCUUCGGAUCGUAAAACUCUGUUAUUAGGGAAGAACAAACGUGUAAGUAACUGUGCACGUCUUGACGGUACCUAAUCAGAAAGCCACGGCUAACUACGUG
rnacentral:rRNA from 1 species